rnacentral:rRNA from 1 species
AUGGAAAAUAAAGAUGUUAAACGUAGACUCAUUAGGUGGGUUCUUUUGCUACAAGAAUUUGAUUUGCAUAUUAUUGAUAGAAAGGGAGCUGAGAAUCCCUUAGCUAAUAAUUUGUUUAGAAUGGAAAAUGUUCUUGAUGGCCCACUACCUAUUGAUGAUAGUUUUCCCAAUGAACAGUUAGCCGUUAUAAAUGCUUCUCGUAAUACUCCUUGGUACGUAGACUAUGCUAAUUACAUUGUUGCUAAAUAUAUACCACCUAGUUUCACACACCAACAAAAUAAAAAAUUCUUCUUUGAUUUAAGACAUUACUUUUGGGAUGACCCACAUCUUCAUAAAGAAGGAGUAGAUGGUGUUAUUAGACAUUGUGUACCUGAGCAUGAACAUGAACAAAUCCUACGGAAGUAUCAUUCCGAGGUAUACGGAGGACACCAUGCUGGAGACAGAACUGCACAUAAGCACUACAUGAAUCAACUGAUUUGCUGUCAGCCAUGGCAGAUGGCAAAGGACCAAAAAGUGGACGACAAAGGUCUUUGCCGUUUGCCACAGACGAUGAACUUUUCCGGCACUGAAAGUUACGGUAAUGAACUCCUUUGCCGUUUGUUUCCGCACGGCAGACGACAAAGACCUUUGUCGCUAGCUUUCCUAGCCAAGCAGACGACAAAUAGAGUGGAGCGUAAAGAAUAG